rnacentral:misc_RNA from 1 species
GUCGAGAUUGUCCAGCUCGAUGAUUCCAACGGCGAGAUCCGCUCCGACCCCAACCUUUCUUUCGAGCACCCCUAUCCGCCCACCAAGACCAUGUUCAUUCCUGAUAAGGAGUGCCAGAAGCCUGACCUCUUGGCCACUUCCAGUGAUUUCCUCCGCUUGUGGCGUAUUGGCGAUGACCAGUCGCGCGUCGAGCUUAAGAGCGUGCUUAAUGGUAACAAGAGCAGCGAGUUUUGUGGGCCUCUCACUUCCUUCGACUGGAAUGAGGC